GAUCGCCCAAUUCGAAAAUAGCAUCGGCCAUAUCGACGGCGACGUCGGCAGCGGCGUCUCUUGUUUAAGCCGCGUUUAUAAAGCCGUCUAAACGAGCCGUCUAAAAGAUCAAAAUAGUAAGUGGAGUGGUCUGGCUUCUAUGGGCAAGCUGUUCCCAUCUGGCCAGCACAGGUGGGAACAGAUCGCAGGGUGGUGCGUGUCUGUGCUGAGCUUACCUGAUCAGUUGGGAGCAGAGCUUUGAUCGUCCGAAAGAGACAGAUGGCUUAAGGUUCUGGUCUUAGCUAAAAUUAAAAUAGUUUAUUAAAGAUGAUAGUAAAGAUUACAAGACUAAUACUUUCUGCCCACAAAGAGCGAUAAAGGCAGGCAUGCCGUUGGCCAAAUGCGACCUCCGACCUCCGCGUUUGGCUUAUGUGCGUUCGGCACGCAAAUCGGUUAUUAGCCAUAAUGCAUACGUAUUUUAUACAAACUCUAUUAUAUAUAUCGCACAUUUUCGAUGGUGCAUUACUGGGGCUGUCUGAUUAUGGGCCCGAUCCCACAAGCCCUCCUUUUGUUCGGGGCUGGUCUCAAAGAUAAGCGACCCUCCAGGCCCAUUUGUACUAAAUAACUGGAACAACAGCAAAAAAUACGAACGGCAAACAAACUGUCUAUUAGUUAUUGUUGUUUGAUUUGCAAAGCGUUUGUCAUUUGUUAAAUAAAUUGAUGGCCAUUGCGGACCUCUUGGCAAAUAGCUGGCCCGAAAAAUGACGCCAUUGUUCGCAGUUCUCGAUGAAACUUUAAACUCUGGAAGGCUGUCAGAAGGCUCGAAAGCAGCAGCAGUUAAGCGUGACAAACGCCGGGGCAUCUCGGGCGGACACCCCUCCAUUAUCCUCCACAAUCAUCAGCUGUCAGUGCAGUGAGUUGAGACUUCAGCCACCAAAAAACCAGUCUGCAGUGUCACCAACGAAAGGAAUGGAAACGAAGGAGCCUGCGAGGCAGCACAGGCACAAGAAAAUGAAAUGACAUUGACAUUUUGAAUAAUGACGCAACACAAUUUGAGUGGGAGAUGCACAACCAGAAAUUUAAAUGCUUAUUUUAAUGGGUCAUUAUAUAAAAAAUAACAGAAAAUAUAUCUAAAAAUUUUAUGUUCUUAACAAAAAAGUUUAAAAAAAAUGUAACAAAUAGAUAUGCAUAUUUAUUGGGCAUUAUUG